ACAGCGCUGCGUUUUGUCUGGAUAAUUUGGGGAUUGAUAACCAGAUUACAAACAGUCCCUCCUGGAUUGCAAUGUGAUGACUGGACGCCAACUUCCUAGAAAAUCGGAGUCAAAACAUCCUGCAGCAGCGACUUACGAGAAGGAAGUGACCAAAGAGGUUGGUGGCAAAAACUUGCUGCAAGCCGUCAGGAGUGACACCAUCUUUCUGAGUCAGAAUCCCGUCACCGGUGGCAAACAUAGUGAUCACCUUACUCUCUAACGACGAAAGCAGCGCACCUUGCAUUCUUGUUGGCAUCUGAGCGGAGCAUCUUCACAGCCACUAGCACUGGCUGGCCCUCUGGG